rnacentral:tRNA from 1 species
GUUAAUGUAGCUUAUCACAAAGCAAGGCACUGAAAAUGCCUAGAUGAGUAUUAAUACUCCAUAAACA